GAAGAAUAGAGGGAAAGAAGGAAGAAAUCUCAGUCAAGGAGAAAGAAUAAUUUAGAGGGAAAGAAGAGAGAUAGAGAGAGAGAAAAGAGCAGAAAGAAACUUGGAAUUCUGGAAUUCUGGAAUUCUGGAAGAACCCCAUUGAUCUGCUCCGGAUCGCAACUCCAGCAGCGAGGAUUGGAAGCAAACCCAGCUCAAAAUCGGGUGCACACUUAGUAAAAUAGAGGGAAAUGGAGAGAAAAAGAGAGAGAUGAGAAAAGAGAUAUAUUGGAUGAGAAAAUAAAUAGAUUGGAUGAGAAGAGAAGCGAAUAUUCAGAGAUGAGAAAAACAUAUUCUUGUUUAUUGAUUCUUGGA
rnacentral:misc_RNA from 1 species